ACUUUUUUAAAGCCACCCAGCCGCAAUUGAUUAUUUAAUUCAGUUGAGUUUUUAUAGAUUUCAAAUGUAUUUUUUAUUUCGCUCCAUAUAGGCCAGAUUUUGCCAUUGCUGGCUCAAGUUUUUAAUAGUUUUUCAAGAGCACAGGCGUUUAUUUCAGGCUCAAAACAGUUGACGUAUCCAGCGACGUAUUUUGCAAUAUUAUUAUUAGGUACGGUUGAAAAUGGAUAGCUGUCUUCAUAACCUAACGUUAAAUUAUUUAACUAGCCUUAAUUUCCCCUAUUUUUUUUAUAGGGAAAGUGCUUUUCGUGGAAACAACGGCAGUACAUGUGUGAACUCUUUCGGUUCUUGGCUAACGUUAGCUACGUCUGGUAUUAGCAUCUUGAUAAGUCACGUAAACUAAAAUGUAUUUGGCUUCAGUAGCUGUUAAAAUCUUGGAAAGCGUGUCAGACUGUGCCGGGGAACACAAACGGCAUCCCUGGGUAGAAUUGCAGUUAUGGCUGAAGGGAACAGAGCGGCACAUGCAAGGCGGAGCAUGAGCUUCAGACCACGCCCACACUCACCUUGGCCCCUCCCACAGCUCCUCCCCUCUGUGAGCAGAGUACACUUGGGAGGCAGGUGUGAAUCCCAGGAAGUCUCCACAUGAGGAAGAGGAGGAUGAGGAGGAUGGAUCAGGUUUGGAGUCAGUCAGUCCAUCUCCAUGGCUGCUGUUUUCUCCUCCGCCCACAGGGGGCGACGUCACUCCAUCUGCUCCCUUCUUCAGCUCUGCCACCUGGGCAUCGGCAUGGAAUACAGAUGCCUUGUAGAGGUUGGCACUCUUGCUGGAUCUGAAUACUUCAUGCUCCAUCUCCACAGCCAAGGAUCGUGUGUCAGAGCUGAAGAAAAGAAAGCAGAGCUCAGUCCCUGAGCGGGAGACUGUGAGUUACAGCACCCCGGCAGGACGGGCCAGCCCAGGGGCGCACUGACAGCAGCCCUGCGCCUCUCC